rnacentral:rRNA from 1 species
UACGAAGGGGGGCUAGCGUUGCUCGGAAUCACUGGGCAUAAAGGGCGCGUAGGCGGCUUAUCAAGUCAGGGGUGAAAUCCGGCAGCUCAACUGUCGAAGUGCCUUUGAUACUGAUGAGCUAGAGGGAGAUAGGGGUAUGCGGAACUUCCGGUGGAGCGGUUGAAAUGCGUUGAUAUCGGAAGGAACGCCGGUGGCGAAAGCGGCGUACUGGGAUCUCUUCUGACGCUGAGGCGGCGAAAGCUAGGGGAGCAAACGGG